rnacentral:rRNA from 1 species
CCGCAAGGGGGACGUGGCGGACGGGUGAGUAACGCGUAGGAAACCUACCCUGGGGUGGGGGAUAGCCCGCAGAAAUGUGGGGUAAGACCGCAUACGCUUCGUUGAGGGGUCAACGAAGGAAAGGGGAAAGACGCCCGAGGAAGGGCCUGCGUCCGAUUAGCCAGUUGGUGGGGUAACGGCCCACCAAAGCGACGAUCGGUAGCUGGUCUGAGAGGAUGAUCAGCCACACUGGGACUGAGACACGGCCCAG